rnacentral:rRNA from 1 species
UACAGAGGGGGCAAGCGUUGUCCGGAUUUAUUGGGCGUAAAGAGCGCGCAGGCGGUCGUUCAAGUCGCGUGUGAAAGCCCCCGGCUCAACUGGGGAGGGUCACGCGAUACUGGUCGACUCGAAGGCAGGAGAGGGUAGUGGAAUUCCCGGUGUAGUGGUGAAAUGCGUAGAUAUCGGGAGGAACACCAGUGGCGAAGGCGACUACCUGGCCUGUUUCUUGACGCUGAGGCGCGAAAGCUAGGGGAGCAAACGGG